CGGGCGUCGGCGGGACGUCAGCGCGUACGCAAAGCGUAGCUACCGCACACUUCUCUCACACCCUGGCUUCUACGCAUUCGUUUGUCCUCUGAGCCGUCUGACUGAGAAGAGGCAAGCUGUUAGGUGGCGAUAUGGGAACGCAGCGUUUUCCAUCAAAACCGGAGAGGCCUAGGAAGAGAUUAUCUCCACCUUGAACUUCCUCAGCAGCCUGACUAUCGUUCAUUAGAGUGCAAGGACCAAAAUAGAAGGAACACUAACAAGACAGGCAGACUUGAAAUUCUUUGUCUAGGAGGCUGAGGUCCUGUAAACUUUCAUUAUGCUCCACUCAUUACUCUCUUUGGUGAAAAUGCAACUCUGUAUGAUCUUCUCCAUUCUCAUAGCUUCAACCACCACCUGCCUGUAUUCUGGACUCUCUGCUUCUAUUGUUUUCCCACUCCAGCUGGAUAAUAGGAACUCAAUGAAUAUUCAUUGAAUAAAUGAG